rnacentral:pre_miRNA from 1 species
CAAGGCAACCAGGUGCCCCUAAUUGCCAGGGAGUGGGCAUGAGCUUGUGUUAAGCCCACCAGUGCCUAAUUAGGGCGGACCCCCCACUGCGCAUGAGCAGGACCAGGGGGCCAAUAAAAGGCCCACCCUAAUUAGGCACAGGUAGGCUUAACACAAGCUCAUGCCCACUCCCUGGCAAUUAGGGGCACCUGGUUGCCUUGUUACACU